rnacentral:lncRNA from 1 species
UUUGUUUAAGAUCAUAAUAAAUCUAAAAAUAUCAAAUUGAAAAAAAUCAUGUUGCCCAAUUAAAAAUAUUUUCUCUUUCUAGACAAAAAUAAAAGAAAGCAUUGCACAAAAAAUUUGCAUUUAACGGUAACAGUCCACAGAUUAAGCAUAUAUCAGAAAAAAAACAAAAUGCAAAGAAAAUAAAUAAAACAAAGCAUCAGGGGCCCACAAAUAAAUUCCCGAAGAUUUCCAAAUAUUUAGGAAGUUUUCUGAUAUAAAAAAGGGGCUUGUUUGGCCAUAUAUCAAAAUAGAAGGGAAAUAAAACACAUGGACAAGGCAUAAGGGUGUAUUUAGUCAAACACACCCUUAGCCAACACAACUUGAGCCGGAUGGGCUAGAGGCCCAGACCCGGCCCGGAUUUUUUUAAAACACUGGGCUGGAUCUAGCCCAGCCGUACGGGCUGGGCUGGACACGGCUGGGCAGAGCAGUACGGUGAUGCGUGCGGUACAGUCACCUGUUAAUUAUAAUUCACAGCACAGUAUCAAAUGAAUUAUUUUGCAAAGCGGGACGACAAGGAGAAAGGCUUACCUGGUCUGCUGGAGCUGGUAGCCUGGGGCGACGACGUCUGGACAAGGGUUCUUCCUUUUUUGCUCUUCUCUCUGUUCGUUAUCCCCUCAGUUCGUCCCCAGUUCGUCCUGUGCCUCCCUGUUUUUUUUUCUUUCCCUGGUUUCCCUUUUGUUCGUCCCCUCUUCGUUGUUUACGUUUCCCGGUCUCCCACGGUUUCCUCUGUUUCCUGGGUUUCUCUUCGUUCGUUCGUCUUCCCACUGUGUUCCCAUUUCUCCUCGUCUUUCUCUAUAUCCUUUAUUCCCUCCUCUGUUCUGGGUUCUUUCUUGUUCCCUCGGUCUCUCUGUUUUUCUGUUCUUCUCUGUUUUUCUUUGCUGGUUCUUUUUUUCUCUCCUCCUCCUCCUCCUUUUUUCGGUCUGGCCUUUCGCUGGCCUUUUAUAGGGCCAGAACAACUGGUUGUUCCCCAGUACGUCUCUUCUUUUCUGGGCGGAGGAUAAGUCUUGCUGGAGGUGUUAGUCUUUUGCUGGGACUUGGACAUGAGAUUCGAUCCUUAUCUCCCCGGUAUUAUGAUCUUCAUG